rnacentral:miRNA from 12 species
GUGUGCGUUGUAGCAAAGGAGAU